rnacentral:tRNA from 1 species
UCUCCAGUGGCGCAGUUGGUUAGCGCAUGGUACUUAUAAGUCAGUAACUGGUUGUGCUAAAGUGAAUCAUGAAUUUCUAUGCAAGUUAUGCUGAGGUCGCGAGUUCGAGCCUCGCCUGGAGAA